ACCAACUUAGAAAGUUUUGGGAGCAUUAACCCCAUACAAGACCAAAACAAACAUGGUUUCAUCAAUUUCACUCUUUAUUUUUUUUCUUCUUCUCCUCUUCAUUGUAUUAACUCAUUGCUCAAGCCUUGAUGAUGAUCUCUCGAACGAUCAACCAAACGGCUUUUUUUUACCUUUCGAAUCAACUCUUUACGCUGAGAUCACCAUCGGAACCCCAACGCGAACUUUUAACCUCAAACUAGACUCUUCUACACAUCUCACAUGUCUCGAUAAUGAUGAUGACCACCAAUGCUCACUCUUAGACAAAUCUUCCAACGCUUUCUCUACAAUCUCAUGCAAUAGCUCUUCUCUCUACAAUCUCAUGCAUGCAGUAGUUUGGGUUUAGAAGAAUUUCUGUUCAAUAUAUGUAGUUAUAUUUAUAUUUUCCUCUCUUUCUUUCGGAUGUAACGGAUUAAUUAAUCAAUCAUACAAUUUAUUAAAGUACUAUUUCUUUUUUUUCUUUUUUUUUGUUCACACUUUUUAGCUACAAAAUUCUAUUAUAAGGACGGACUAAUAAGAUAAAAUAUUCACCAUCAAUCACACAUCCCACUGGUUAUAAAAGAAGUCAAAAGAUUUGAUCAUCUAACAAGAUUGGUUUGUUUGUUUGUAAGGUUGUGGGAGAAUCUCAGAAGAGAGAAGAGUAUCUCUUCUUCCCAGGAGAUUACUGAGGAUGUUAUUCUUUCUUCUAUGAUGUUGUCAGCAGAGGAGAGCAACUAUGUUGUAAGCAUCCAUUGGCUGCGAGGUUGGCUUCUUCUUUGGGUACAUACAACGAAAUCGAGGUCUCAGAUUACCAUCUUGCCUUGAUGCUCUCUAAGAUCUGAAGCUACAAGUUAUGUCUUUGGCUUAUGCGUCGUGCCAGUAACCUGCAGGUAUCUGUGUCUUUUCAGAAUUAUAUAUAUAUGCGGAUCAUGAUUCUUCACAUGUUUUGAUGAACAAUGUUGUUUCCUCUUUUCUGUUUCACUUGUAGUAUGUAAUCAAUCCAUCAAUAAUGGAGUUAUAUGUUUACUGGUUUGGUCUACAUGACGUGAUAGUUUACUCAAACAUUAGUAGUAAGUACUAAUAGAGGUAUUGUAGGUUAUUUUCUUUUAUCUCUAAAGCUUGAGCAUGCUUCCUCAUGAAGCGAGCCUCGUUCGCAACAACUUAUAAGCGUGUUUUAGGUAAUUGUACGUAACAUAAGUAUGCAAUUUCAAUGUAUUGAACUUCUUACUUCAGUGGAAGAAUUUUUGUUCAAUAUGUAGUUAUAUUUAUAUUUUCCUCUCUUUCGUUCGGAUGUAACGGAUUAAUUAAUCAAUCAUACAAUUUAUAAAAGUUCUAUU